rnacentral:rRNA from 1 species
AUUGAACGCUGGCGGCAGGCCUAACACAUGCAAGUCGAGCGGAGCGGCUGACGUGUGCGUCAUGCCUAGGCAUCUGCCUGGUAGUGGGGGAUAACGUCCCGCAACGGGCGCUAAUACCGCCUACUAUCAGAUUAGCCUCGGUCGGAUUAGCUAGUUGGUGGGGUAAAGGCCUACAAAGGCGACUAUCCGUAACUGGUCUGAGAGGAUGAUCAGUCAAACGGGAAGUGAGACCCGGUCUAGAAUCCUACGGGAGGCAGCAGUUGGGAAUAGUGGACAAUGGGCGAAAGCCUGAUCCAGCCAUGCGGCGUGUGUGAAGAAGGUCUUCGGAUUGUAAAGAACUGUAAGUUGGGAGGCGUUACCAACAGAAUAAGCACAGGCUAACGUCGUGCCAGCAGCCGCGGUAAUAC